AAGGUCUUAAGUUAAAAAAACUGAUAGCCUUCAAAGUUAUAAAUAAAAAUCCUUUUUAGGCCUUA
rnacentral:tRNA from 1 species